rnacentral:rRNA from 1 species
GACGAACGCUGGCGGCGUGCCUAAUACGUGCAAGUCGAACGCUUCUUUCCUCCCGAGUGCUUGCACUCAAUUGGAAAGAGGAGUGGCGGACGGGUGAGUAACACGUGGGUAACCUACCCAUCAGAGGGGGAUAACACUUGGAAACAGGUGCUAAUACCGCAUAACAGUUUAUGCCGCAUGGCAUAAGAGUGAAAGGCGCUUUCGGGUGUCGUUGAUGGAUGGACCCGCGGUGCAUUAGCUAGUUGGUGAGGUAACGGCUCACCAAGGCCACGAUGCAUAGCCGACCUGAGAGGGUGAUCGGCCACACUGGGACUGAGACACGGCCCAGACUCCUACGGGAGGCAGCAGUAGGGAAUCUUCGGCAAUGGACGAAAGUCUGACCGAGCAACGCCGCGUGAGUGAAGAAGGUUUUCGGAUCGUAAAACUCUGUUGUUAGAGAAGAACAAGGACGUUAGUAACUGAACGUCCCCUGACGGUAUCUAACCAGAAAGCCACGGCUAACUACGUG